UACGGAGGAUCCAAGCGUUAUCCGGAUUUAUUGGGUUUAAAGGGUGCGUAGGCGGAAUGGUAAGUCAGUGGUGAAAGCCUGCAGCUUAACUGUAGAAUUGCCAUUGAUACUGCUAAUCUUGAGUACAUAUGAAGUGGGCGGAAUGUGUCGUGUAGCGGUGAAAUGCUUAGAUAUGACACAGAACACCGAUUGCGAAGGCAGCUCACUAAACUGUAACUGACGCUGAGGCACGAAAGCAUGGGGAGCAAACAGG
rnacentral:rRNA from 1 species